rnacentral:SRP_RNA from 1 species
CUAUGCUAAGCGGGGAGGUAGCGGUGCCCUGAACCUGCAAUCCGCUAUAGCAGGGCUGAAUUCCUAUUGUGCGGCGAACUUCUCUUGAGGACUGGCCCAUGUAAGUGGUGAUGAAGAUUGGGUCCUGAGCAACUCACAAUUAUCAAACCCCGUCAGGUCCGGAAGGAAGCAGCGGUAGAUAAUCUGGGGGUGUGACGCAGGGAAGCCUGGUCGGAGCUAACUGCUUGGGUAACGCUUGGGGGAACUCGUCAAGCUCUAGGUGCAUGG